rnacentral:rRNA from 1 species
AUUGAACGCUGGCGGCAUGCUUUACACAUGCAAGUCGAACGGUAACAGGUUAAGCUGACGAGUGGCGAACGGGUGAGUAAUGCAUCGGAACGUGCCCGGGCGUGGGGGAUAACGCCGCGAAAGUUGCGCUAAUACCGCAAACGAUCUGAGGAUGAAAGCGGGGGACCGUAAGGCCACGCGCGAUCGGAGCGGCCGAUGUCAGAUUAGGUAGUUGGGGGGGUAAUGCCUCACCAAGCCAACGAUCUGUAGCUGGUCUGAGAGGACGACCAGCCACACUGGGACUGAGACACGGCCCAAACGCCUACGGGAGGCAGCAGUGGGGAAUUUUGGACAAUGGGCGAAAGCCUGAUCCAGCAAUGCCGCGUGCAGGAAGAAGGCCUUCGGGUUGUAAACUGCUUUUGUACGGAGCGAAAAGGUCUCCUCUAAUACAGGGGGCUCAUGACGGUACCGUAAGAAUAAGCACCGGCUAACUACGUGCCAGCAGCCGCAGUAA